GUCCAAAACUGAAGUUGGGGAAGGUUAAAUUCCAAUGCAAAUGGCCGAGCCGAGGGUUUUGCAAAAAUUUCCCCGAAUUGCGCAAAAUCGGUUCCACCCGGCCUCCUGAAAUUGAGUGCAAACGUCGCACGCACGCUCCUAAAGGGCAUUUUUGCGAGGAGGGGGUCCACAGCUCUCAUCCGAUUUUCAAAGAGCUCCAAGGAGCCCACCACCACCGCGGAAAAGGGUGAAAAGGUUACGAAUCGUCACAAAGAGGAGAAAAUGAAGCCUGAAGACAUUGAGGAUUGUCCAAGGUCGCUCAAGGACUUGGAGCUGGGAUGCAAAGCCAGGAGCAGAAGCCUCAGACGAUAGCCAGGCCACUUGGCGGAGGAAACGCCGGGCACCGGGACCAUGUCUCUGGUCUGAGGUCGGAAGUGAAUGC